rnacentral:rRNA from 1 species
AUGAACGCUGGCGGCGUGCCUAAUACAUGCAAGUCGAACGGACAUAGAAAUAUGUUAGUGGCGUUCGGGUGCGUAACACGUAGCUGACCUGCCCUCAAGCGGGGGAUAACCAGUCGAAAGACUAGCUAAUACCGCAUGAAGUGAUGAGAACUAAAGGCUCGUCAUGAAACUUACGGGGCUUGAGGAGGGGGCUGCGGCCCAUCAGGUAGUCGGUAGGGUAAAAGCCUACCAAGCCAAUGACGGGUAGGGGGCCUGAGAGGGUGGUCCCCCACACUGGGACUGACACACGGCCCAGACUCCUACGGGAGGCAGCAGUAAGGGAUAUUGCGCAAUGGGCGAAAGCCUGACGCAGCAACGCCGCGUGGAGGAUGAAGGGUUUCGGCUCGUAAACUCCUUUUGGUAGGGACGAGGAAGGACGGUACCUACCGAAUAAGUCACGGCUAACUACGUGCCAGCAGCCGCGGUAAAACGUAGGUGGCGAGCGUUAUCCGGAAUUACUGGGCGUAAAGCGUGUGCAGGCGGGCGGUCAAGUGGUGUAUGAAAGCGUCCGGCUAAACCGGGCAAGGUUAUGCCAGACUGACCGUCUUGAGUGCGAGAGAGGAGCGUGGAAUUCCGGGUGUAGUGGUGAAAUGCGUAGAGAUCCGGAGGAACCCCAGAGGCGAAGGCGGCGCUCUGGCUCGCAACUGACGCUCAGACACGACAGCAUGGGGAGCGAACGGGAUUAGAAACCCCGGUAGUCCAUGCCGUAAACGAUGCUAACUAGGCGCUGCGGGACUCAACCCCCGCGGUGCCGCAGCUAACGCGAUAAGUUAGCCGCCUGGGGAGUACGGCCGCAAGGCUAAAACUCAAAGGAAUUGACGGGGGCCCGCACAAGCAGCGGAGCGUGUGGUUUAAUUCGAGGCUACACGAAGAACCUUACCUGGGUUUGACAUGCAGGUGGUAGGGAGCCGAAAGGCAACCGACCUUCGGGAGCCUGCACAGGUGCUGCAUGGCUGUCGUCAGCUCGUGCCGUGAGGUGUUAGGUUAAGUCCUGUAACGAGCGCAACCCCCGGAGUUAGUUACACGAAGUCUAACUCAACUGCCCGUGACAAGCGGGAGGAAGGUGGGGAUGACGUCAAGUCAGCAUGGCCUUUAUAUCCAGGGCUACACACACGCUACAAUGGUCGGUACAAUGGGCAGCCAAGCCGCAAGGCGGAGCUAAUCCAGUCAAAGCCGAUCACAGUUCGGAUUGUGGGCUGCAACCCGCCCACAUGAAGUUGGAGUUGCUAGUAACCGCGCGUCAGCCAUAGUGCGGUGAAUACGUUCCCGGGCCUUGUACACACCGCCCGUCACGUCAUGGGAGCUGGUCACGCCUGAAGCCAGUGGGCUAACCGCAAGGAGGCAACUGUCCAAGGCAGGGCCGGUGACUGGGACG